CGUUCUCCAGCCACGACUGAACAAAUAUAAUCUCCAUGUUCUCUUUUUGUGCUACAUAAUUGCAACUGAGAUCUGUGAACCAGAAAUAUGAUAGUGCAGGUUCCUGAACUGAGAUCGUGCAGUUAGAUUGUGCAGUUGCCUGAACAACAUUUCCAAGAAUUGCCGUCGGAGCAGAUGCCUGCCUCUACACAACUCAGGAUAAAAUGAGACCGAUCUCCUACCCCUGGCUCUGCUACUUGGGCCUCCUGAUUGUGAGCCUUUGUUUCAGAAGGGGAACCUGCUAUCGAGACAUUUAUCAAUCUGACUGCAAUGGCGCCUCCAACUGCUACAAGAAAUGCCCCAAAGAGUGGGCGUUCUAUAAGGACACCUGCUACGGAUUCUUCACCGACCCUGUCCCCUGGACUGAGGCAGA